rnacentral:rRNA from 1 species
GGCGUCACAAGUGGAGAUCAUGAUUAUUGGGUCUAAAGUGUUCGUAGCUGGUUGUAUAAGUUUCUUGUGAAAGUUCUGUAGCUUAACUCAGAAUUGCAAGAAAUACUGUACAACUUGAGACCGGAAGGGGUGUAAAGUAUGAAUUGGGUAGCGGUAAAAUGCUAUAAUCCUAUUCAGACUAACUAAGGCGAAGGCAUUACACUAAGACGGAUCUGACAGUGAGGAACGAGAGCUGGGGGAGCGAACCGG